rnacentral:rRNA from 1 species
UACGUAGGGGGCUAGCGUUGUCCGGAAUCAUUGGGCGUAAAGCGCGUGUAGGCGGUCCGGUAAGUCCGCUGUGAAAGUCGGGGGGCUCAACCCUCGAAUGCCGGUGGAUACUGUCGGGCUAGAGUGCGGAAGAGGCGAGUGGAAUCCUGGUGUAGCGGUGAAAUGCGCAGAUAUCAGGAGGAACACCAAUUGCGAAGGCAGCUCGCUGGGACGUUACUGACGCUGAGACGCGAAAGCGUGGGGAGCAAACAGG